AAUGAACGCUGGCGGCAGGCCUAACACAUGCAAGUCGAGCGGACCCUUCGGGGUUAGCGGAGGACGGGGGCGUAAGGCGUGGGAAUAUGCCCUUCUCUACGGAAUAGUCCUGGGAAACUGGGGGUAAUACCGUAUACGCCCUUUGGGGGAAAGAUUUAUCGGGGAAGGAUUAGCCCGCGUUGGAUUAGGUAGUUGGUGGGGUAAUGGCCUACCAAGCCGACGAUCCAUAGCUGGUUGGAGAGGAUGAUCAGCCACACUGGGACUGAGACACGGCCCAGACUCCUACGAGAGGCAGGAGUGGGGGAUCUUAGACCAUGGGGGCAACCCUGAUCGAGCCAUGCCGCGAGAGUGAUGAAGGGCUUAGGGUUGUAAAGCUGUUUCAGCUGGGAAGAUAAUGACGGUACCAGCAGAAGAAGCCCCGGCUAACUCCGUG
rnacentral:rRNA from 1 species